rnacentral:rRNA from 1 species
UACGUAGGGAGCAAGCGUUGUCCGGAAUUACUGGGCGUAAAGGGCGCGUAGGUGGGCGCUUAAGUCAGGUGUGAACACUCCGGGCUCAACCUGGAGACUGCACUUGAAACUGGGUGUCUUGAGGGCAGGAGAGGAAAGUGGAAUUCCUAGUGUAGCGGUGAAAUGCGUAGAUAUUAGGAGGAACACCAGUGGCGAAGGCGACUUUCUGGACUGUACCUGACGCUGAGGCGCGAAAGCGUGGGUAGCGAACGGG